ensembl:lncRNA
GUUUCUUCAUGUGAAGGGGGCCAUGGUCAGCAGCAGCUCUGAAGGCACACCCUGUUAACAAGAAUGGGAAGAGACCGUAUAUAUGUGCCAGGCACCAUCCUGGGCACUUCAAAGUCCACAAGUCAAGAAGAAAGAGAAAAAAGCAUUCUCCACUGCAAAUUUAGAGAAUCCACAGACAGAGUCUACAGUGGGCCAAUGUAAGUCAUGUCCCCACCACUAGAGCAAUUGCUGGGUCAAGAACCAGUGGAGCAACCGCCAGACGUGGACAUCUGACUACACACUGAGCCAUGGAGGGAGCCACUGUGAUCCAGAAGGCCAAGUUGGCAGAGCAGGCCAGGGCCGUGACAACAUGGCAGCCUUCAUGAAGAGCGCCAUGGAAAAGGGGAGGAGCUAUCCUGUGAAGACUGAAACCGGCUCUCAGUGGCCUGCAAGGGCAUGGUGGGUGAUCAGAGCGCUGCCUGGAGGGAUCUGCCCAGUGCUGAGCAGAAAAGCGAUGAAGCGGGCUAACAAGAGAAGGGCAGGGAGGUCCAAGUGUCCUGGGAGAAGGUGGAGACUGAGCUCCAGGAGGUGUAUGACAUCGUGGAGGACCUGCUGGACACCACCUCAUCAAGGACACUGGUGACGCUGAAAGCAGGCUCUUCCACCCAAAAAUGAAGGGUGACUGCCCCACUAUCUGGCAGAGGUGGCCACCAGUGACAACUAAAAACAUUUCAGCAUCUCUGCUCUGUGGGCCUCCCGGGAGGCCAUAGACAUCAGCAAGGAGAUACUGCACACCAACCCCAUCCACCCGAGCCUGGCCCUGAACUGUUCUGUCUUCCUCUAUGAGAUCUCCAGCAGCCCAGAGGAGAUGGUCUCACUGGCCAAGAGCACCUUGGAUGAGGCCGUGGUUGACCUACACAUCCUCACCAAGGACUCCUACAAAGACAGCACCUUCAUCAUGCAGUGGCUGCAAGACAAGCUGACGCUGGGGGCGGCCGACAGCAUCAGGGAAGUGGGGAGCAUGGCAAGGCAAUCACCGGAGCCAUGGGCACUCUCCCGGGAGCCAGCACAGGUCACCUUAAAUAACAGCUCAUCCAGGCGACAACACAGGCUAGACUGCAGGGACCCCAGGCCCAGCCAUUCCUUUUCUUAUUCCUUCCAGCCCCAAAUGAACAGAGGUUCAGGUAAGCUUGUUUUUCCUGAUGAAGCUAGUUCUUGCUCCUUAUUUUUUAAAAGCAAAUGUUUAGACAACAAAGUUAACAUACCUCCAAUGAACAAAAGUAAUAUUCUGGAAAGUUUUGGGGGACACCGUUUUCUAUCUUUUUAUAAUAGAUAUAUCUAUUCCCCAUUGAAUAUCUGCUCACCAUUGCCAAGCACCUAAUAGCAUCACCUGAAGCAUCAGUCCCUGGAUUCCUUCUCUAGAGUCCAGUGUCCCUUUGACAAGGGGCAGUCAUUUGUUUUAUAACUAACAUGUUGAAAGGUCCUACUGAACAGUCCUCCCACCACAGGGGAGACUCCACCCCAAAGAGAGCUUCCAUUCCUCAAAGUGACCGUUUUGCACAUCAAAAGAUGGAGCCCAGUGUCUUAGUGUUAAGAUUUUCAUCUUUUCAACUUUUUUACUCAAUCAUACAACUCUAGAGCAUUCUCCUACAAAGUCCUCGAUGUUUUGUGGCAGUGUUAGAAAUAAGCAUCCCCCACUGGGGACAAACUUAGACAACCAUGGGGUAGACGGUCAUCCAAAGAGUCAGGCAAGAUUAAGUCGGAAAGGGUUACAAAGCAUUAAUGCCCUUAAGGAAGCGAAUCCAUUUGUGAAUUUGCUAAUGCCAGCAAGUCCUCUUUCCCAUCACCAUCCCCAAAGAUAAGAGCAACAACCAACCAUUGCCUUUUCAUCCUUUAUGGGCAUAAUUUUACACAUGCAACUUCAUUAGCUGUUUGGAUAAUGCGGUGGGUGCAAAAAAUAAAGCCCAUAAAACAACAAUAUAGUAGAUCCCU